rnacentral:lncRNA from 1 species
GAUGAAUUUGGUUUUCACCAAAUGAGCUUAAAAGCUGAACUUACCUUAAAAUUUAUUCUUAUUUUUUCAGAUUGCAGUGGCUUAGGAAACAUUUCCUCUGGAUAUGUAGCUUGCAGCAAAGCCAAUUUAAAAAUCAAUUGUGUAUUUGUGUGUGUGUGUUCUCAUUAUUUCAUCAUCAAGCACUUCCUCUUUCAUCCUUAAGAAAGGGUGUCUGCUUGACCAGAUUCUGGUUUUUUUGUUUGACCUUAGGAUAAACAAGAAGUUAAUGGCCCGUUUUGAGAGUAUUUGCAAACACUUAUUGUAGGAGUUUGACUUUGUGUGUAGACAUUUUCCUUCUUGGGCUCUUGCCUUUGUUCAGUAUGCUCUCCUCCUCCUAUGUUAUUCAGAGCUGGCUGUAAUUGGUUUGCUUAGUACAACACCACAAAUUUUUCCCUUGCCAGUGAUGUCAGAUCUGCCUUCCCUUUUAUUAUUCUGACUUUUUAUAAACUGCAGUGACCUAUGAGUCAACCUCACCAUCUCUUGGCCCUGCACCAACAUUGUGAUCUAUGAAAAGGGAAUCCUGCCAAGGGCUACAGGAUAGAAAACUGAUACUCUUAAAGUGGUCUUCCGAACGGCUCCAUAGUCUGAUGGGAAAAGUCGUGUUAAUAUCUGAAGGCCAAGUUGAACAUCAAGGCUCCAAGACCCUCCACUUCACGGCUCUCUCUGGGAUGAACCUUUGUGGAGGGAGGGCCUGCUGUGGCAGAGUGCAGGGGCAGAGCUGCCAGACAAAGACAACAGGGGCUGGAGGAAACGGACCAGGCACAUGA